rnacentral:misc_RNA from 1 species
ACUAUUAAAAUAUCGAUAAUUUUGCUAUAAGCGGCCAGCAUCCUUUUAAUCACUAUGUUUAUACAGUGGUUUAGGACAAUAAAAAUAGGCUAUUUCAAUAUGAUCCAUAAAGGACUACGUCCGUUAGUACUCUGUGGUCCAUCAGGCUCUGGAAAAAGUACUCUGAUAAAGCGAUUGUUCGAUGAAUUUCCCGAUACGUUCAAAUAUUCGGUGUCUCAUACAACUAGAAUGCCACGGUCUGGUGAAGAGGAUGGGAUUCACUAUCAUUUCACAAACAAAGAAAAAAUGCAAGAACAAAUAGAAAAUGGGGAGUUUAUUGAAACUGCUACAUUUAGCGGGAAUCUAUAUGGAACGAGCAAACAAGCAGUUGAAGAUGUACAAAAUUUAGGAAAAAUAUGCGUGUUAGAUAUUGACAUACAAGGUGUAAAACAAAUAAAACGCAUCGAUCUGAAUCCCUUUUACAUAUUUAUAAAACCACCAUCUAUUAUGGAAUUGGAACAACGAUUAAAGGCUAGAAACACAGAAACUGAAGAAUCUUUGAAACGUAGAUUAUUAAUUGCCAAAUCUGAAUUAGAAUAUGGUGAAACACCUGGUAACUUUGACAUUGUCAUAGAAAAUGAUGAUUUGGAAGAAGCAUAUCAGAUUUUACACAAUUUUGUGGUGUCCAAUUAUAAUCCACAUCGCCGUACAGGUGAAUCAAAUGUUUCCCGUUUCUUUUGACGAGACAAGAAGCUAGUUGAGAAUUGAAAUCUAAUGGAUCCUUGGAUGUGACUCAUAUUUGGACAUGAAUAACGAAUUGUUUCCGAUGACAUUUUCGUAACUUACUAUUUCGGACAUAUCUGAUAAACAUGUAAUUAAAAGAGAUUGCCAGCUCUUAUAGCAUAUUCCACACUUUUGCAUUAAGCCCGAUCUGAUUUUAAAACAAGCAAAUGAUAAAAAUAAUCUGGUGGAUGAAAGAUAGAAGGAAUAUCUUUAUUCGCCUAAUUAAUACAUAACGUAUAGCAGCUGAUUUUUUUUUUAUCAAAUAAGAAAUCUAUUUUUUAAUAGGGAUAUGAAGUGUUUUUUCGCACUAAGAUAAGAAUUUUAGCUUAAUGUUCAAGAAGUAAUUCACAGAAAUAAAACGUAAAAUUGUAGAUGUAGAUAACUGAGACUAUUCACCAAAAAAGGUUGUGUUCCAGUAGAGUAGACUAUGUGUAAAAUACUUGCGGUUUCAUCUUCGUAUUUAUCUUCAUGAUCGAUAUAGAAGCGUCGGAAUGUAGUUAUUUCUGGUUUAUAUUACGAUAUAUUGGAUUUCAUACAAGCAUCACUAUGUAGAAUUAAGAUUAUAAAAAGAAUUCUGUAAACAUUCCUAUAAUAUUUUUAUGAUAAAUAAUAAGAUUGUGCAGAAAAUAUCUAAAAUUUGAUACGCUUGUUUCCAUUGUGCAUACAAUUCGAAGCCUGUAAUUAUUUCUUAGCUGGAUAAUUGAUAAGAUUAUAUAUAAAAUAUAUAUUUACUGAGUAAUCUAUAUUAAUAUAGAAAAAUGAUUGAAUCGAGUAGGCUAAGUUGCAUUAAUAAUCUUAUUAAACUGAAUACACCUUUAUAUAUAGUAAAUAGCAUAUUAGACAGAGAGAAAAUCUCUUUACUUUUAAAAUUAACUGAUGUAAUUAAUAACUCUUAAAAAUAAGUCACAGA